rnacentral:rRNA from 1 species
AUACGUAGGGUGCGAGCGUUGUCCGGAAUUACUGGGUGUAAAGGGUGCGUAGGCGGGACUGCAAGUCAGAUGUGAAAUGCCGGGGCUCAACCCCGGAGCUGCAUUUGAAACUGGGGUUCUUGAGUGAGGUAGAGGUAAGCGGAAUUCCUAGUGUAGCGGUGAAAUGCGGAGAUCUUAGGAGGAACAUCGGUGGCGAAGGCAGCUUACCGGGCCCUUACUGACUCCGAGGCACGAAAGCGUCGGGAGAAAACAAGAUUAGAUACCCUGGUCAUCCACUCUGUAAACGAGGCUGACUAUGCGGGGGGAAACUGAACCCGCGCGCGCCUCAGUUACAACAAUAAGUCAACCCCCUGGUGAGGUCGGAAGCAAGGUUGCGGCUGAAAUCAAUUGACGCUG